ACUGCAGGACACAUGAACAUCGACAUUUUGAACGCAUAUCGCAGUCCAUGCUGUUAUGGUACUUUAAUUUAUUUUAGAGUGCUGCUUGGACUACAUAUGGUUGAGGGUUGUAAGACUAUGCUCAAUAAGUUGUUUUAAUAUUUUACAAAAUUUUAAAACACAUGGUAUAUUAUUGGAAAUUUUUAUAUUUAAUAUAAUAAAUUUUCAUAAUAUUAAUUAUAAAUGAAACACAUUAUCUCUCAAGUAUGAGAAAAACGAAGAUGUAUAUUAAUUUCAUUUUCAAUUCUUAUAAUACUGAGGAAUGUCUAGCAUAAAAAAAAAAAAUGUUUUUUUUUUUUCAUCUAGAAUUGCCUCUUAUUAAUGAUUUGUUAUGAAAAAUAAAUUAAGUAAAUAUUAUUAUUCUUCACAUAAUAGAAAUAUAUUAAUGGUUUCAAUAUAUAAAAGAAAAUUAUAUAUUUAUAUUUGUGUAUAUACAACCUCAACUCAUAUGGGACUACCCCCUGAAUUUAAGCAUAUUAAUUAGGGGAGGAAAAGAAACUAACAAGGAUUUUCUUAGUAGCGGCGAGCGAAAAGAAAAUAGUUCAGCACUAAGUCACUUUGUCUUUAUGGCAAAUGUGAGAUGCAGUGUAUGGAGCAUCAAUAUUCUAGUAUGAGAAAUUAAUGAUUUAAGUCCUUCUUAAAUGAGGCCAUUUACCCAUAGAGGGUGCCAGGCCCGUAUAACAUUAAUGAUUACUAGAUGGUGUUUCCAAAGAGUCGUGUUGCUUGAUAGUGCAGCACUAAGUGGGUGGUAAACUCCAUCUAAAACUAAAUAUAACCAUGAGACCGAUAGUAAACAAGUACCGUGAGGGAAAGUUGAAAAGAACUCUGAAUAGAGAGUUAAAUAGUACGUGAAACUGCUUAGAGGUUAAGCCCGAUGAACCUGAAUAUCCGUUAUGGAAAAUUCAUCAUUAAAAUUGUAAUAUUUAAAUAAUAUUAUAAUAAUAGUGUGCAUUUUUUCCAUAUAAGGACAUUGUAAUCUAUUAAUAUAAACCAAAUUUAUCAUAAAAUAUGACUUAUAGUUUAUUUAAAUUAUUUUGCUUGCAAUUUAACAUAAAAUAAAUGUCAUUAAUUUGAUAAAGUGUUGAUAGAUUUAUAUGAAUACAGUGCGUUAAUUUUUUUAAAAUUAUAUAAUAGCAUGAUUAUCAUUGAUUUUCUAUGUUUAUUAUAUGCACUUGUAUGAUUAACAAUGCGAAAGAUUCAGGAUACCUUCGGGACCCGUCUUGAAACACGGACCAAGGAGUCUAACAUAUGUGCAAGUUAUUGGGAUAUAAACCUAAUAGCAUAAUUAACUUGACUAAUAAUGGGAUUAGUUUUUUAACUAUUUAUAGUUAAUUAACACAAUCCCGGGGCGUUCUAAAAAGUUAUGUGUAAUAAUAUUUAUAUUAUUUAUACCUCUAACUAGAACGUACCUUGAGCAUAUAUGCUGUGACCCGAAAGAUGGUGAACUAUACUUGAUCAGGUUGAAGUCAGGGGAAACCCUGAUGGAAGACCGAAACAGUUCUGACGUGCAAAUCGAUUGUCAGAAUUGAGUAUAGGGGCGAAAGACCAAUCGAACCAUCUAGUAGCUGG
rnacentral:rRNA from 1 species